rfam:Felis catus isolate Cinnamon breed Abyssinian chromosome A1, whole genome shotgun sequence.
GCCUGGGUGGCUCAGUCUGUUGAGCGUCCGACUUCGGCUCAGGUCACGAUCUCACGGUUCGUGGGUUCAAGCCCCGCGUCGGGCU